AAGACUUUGCGCUUUUGGAGCGGCCGAUGCCUGAUUAGCUUGUUGGUAAGGUAAAAGCUUACCAAGGCUUCGAUCAGUAGCUGGUCUGAGAGGACGGCCAGCCACACUGGGACUGAGACACGGCCCAGACUCCUAUGGGAGGCAGCAGUGGGGAAUUUUGGACAAUGGGGGCAACCCUGAUCCAGCCAUGCCGCGUGAGUGAAGAAGGCCUUCGGGUUGUAAAGCCCUUUCAGCCGGAACGAAACGGUUACGGUUAAUACCCGUGAUUACUGACGGUACCGGAAGAAGAAGCACCGGCUAACUACGUGCCAGCAGCCGCGGUAAUACGUAGGGUGCGAGCGUUAAUCGGAAUUACUGGGCGUAAAGCGUGCGCAGGUGGUUUUGUAAGUCAGAUGUGAAAGCCCCGGGCUCAACCUGGGAACU
rnacentral:rRNA from 1 species